GACGAACGCUGGCGGCGUGCUUAACACAUGCAAGUCGAACGGAAAGGCCCUGCUUUUGUGGGGUGCUCGAGUGGCGAACGGGUGAGUAACACGUGAGUAACCUGCCCUUGACUUUGGGAUAACUUCAGGAAACUGGGGCUAAUACCGGAUAGGAGCUCCUGCUGCAUGGUGGGGGUUGGAAAGUUUCGGCGGUUGGGGAUGGACUCGCGGCUUAUCAGCUUGUUGGUGGGGUAGUGGCUUACCAAGGCUUUGACGGGUAGCCGGCCUGAGAGGGUGACCGGCCACAUUGGGACUGAGGUACGGCGCAGACUCCUACGGGAGGCAGCAGUGGGGAAUAUUGCACAGUAGGCGGAAGCCUGAUGCAGCAACGCCGCGUGCGGGAUGACGGCCUUCGGGUUGUAAACCGCUUUCGCCUGUGACGAAGCGUGAGUGACGGUAAUGGGUAAAGAAGCACCGGCUAACUACGUG
rnacentral:rRNA from 1 species